rnacentral:rRNA from 1 species
CCUACGGGAGGCAGCAGUGGGGGAUAUUGCACAAUGGGGGGAACCCUGAUGCAGCGACGCCGCGUGGGUGAAGGAGCGUUUCGGCGCGUAAAGCCCUAUCGGCAGGGAAGAAGAUGACGGUACCUGACCAAGAAGCCCCGGCUAACUACGUGCCAGCAGCCGCGGUAAUACGUAGGGGGCCAGCGUUAUCCGGAAUUACUGGGUGUAAAGGGAGCGUAGACGGUGAUGUAGGUCUGGAGUGAAAGGCGGGGGCUCAACCCCCGGACUGCUCUGGAAACUAUGUGACUGGAGUGCAGGCGAGGUAGGCGGAAUUCUUAGUGUAGCGGUGAAAUGCGUAGAUAUGAGGAGGAACACCAAUGGCGAAGGCAGCUCACUGGACUGUAACUGACGUUGAGGCUCGAAAGCGUGGGUAGCAAACAGGAUUAGAUACCCUGGUAGUC